rnacentral:rRNA from 1 species
UGAGGAAUAUUGGUCAAUGGGCGGAAGCCUGAACCAGCCAAGUCGCGUGAGGGAAUAAGGCCCUACGGGUCGUAAACCUCUUUUGCCGGGGAGCAAGGGCGGGGACGUGUCCCGGCCCGGAGAGUAACCCGGGGAAAAAGCAUCGGCUAACUCCGUGCC